AUUGCCGACUAUCUGAAUUUUCGCGGAUUCGAAAUUCAGUUCGCUGAACUGUCCGACGAGGUCGUCUUUGAAAUCUACUUGACUCAGAAUAAGAACCAUCAGAAGUUGGGAAAGAUGACCUGGAAUUAGAACUUUUUACAGCAUACGUGAAUCUCUUCCCCUUGUUGCUGUAUGCUUGGCCUUGAACCCUGCCCCCAGCAGAAUUUCUCUCAUUGGAAACUGACUGAAUUGAUCCCAGCACAGAGGACGUGUUGCCAUCAGAUCCCUUCUCCUUAGAUGGCUGCACUUGCCUAUCUGCAUUAUUCAAGCCCUUGGCUUCAACUUGGAUAUCUAACUCCGAGAUAAGUUUUCUACCACUAGCAUCAGCAAUCCCAGCAAUGUUGGCCGUAAGAGCUUUGCUUUCUGCACUUCCUUGUACUGGCUUACUGUCAUGAGGUCUCACUAGAAAAUCAUGUCCCUGAUUUGCUGAAAGAGAUUGAACAUUGACUUUCACCAGAGUAGAAGUAUCUUGAGAAAGUUGGGGAGGCAUAGAACAUCCCGAAUUUUGAUUGGUAUUGUAAUGAGCCUGCACAUUGGGCUGACCAAAAGACAUCGACUGAGCAGUGAUUGGCAGAAUCCCUUGUGAGACAGUAGAUGAAUACCUGAGCUGACCAA
rnacentral:misc_RNA from 1 species